rnacentral:rRNA from 1 species
UACAGAGGUCUCGAGCGUUUGUUCGGAUUCAUUGGGCGUAAAGGGUGCGUAGGUGGCAGGGUAAGUCGGAUGUGAAAUCCCGGGGCUCAACCUCGGAACUGCAUUCGAUACUGCUUUGCUUGAGUACUGGAGAGGAGAUUGGAAUUUACGGUGUAGCAGUGAAAUGCGUAGAUAUCGUAAGGAAGACCAGUGGCGAAGGCGAAUCCCUGGAAAAUACCUGACACUGAGGCACGAAAGCUAGGGGAGCAAACAGG